rnacentral:rRNA from 1 species
GGACCCGCACAAGCGGUGGAGCAUGUGGUUUAAUUCGAUGCAACGCGAAAAACCUUACCUACACUUGACAUACUUCGAAUUUUCUAGAGAUAGAUUAGUGCCUUCGGGAGCGAAGAUACAGGUGCUGCAUGGCUGUCGUCAGCUCGUGUCGUGAGAUGUUGGGUUAAGUCCUAUAACGAGCGCAACCCUUACCCUUAUUUGCCAGCGGUUAGGCCGGGAACUAUAAGGGAACUGCCGGUAAUAAGCCGGAGGAAGGUGGGGACGACGUCAAGUCAUCAUGGCCCUUACGUGUAGGGCUACACACGUGCUACAAUGGGAGAUACAGACGGUUGCUAAAGCGCGAGCUGGAG